CGAGGAAUAUUGCGCAAUGGGGGCAACCCUGACGCAGCAACGCCGUGUGAGUGAGGAAGGUUUUCGGACCGUAAAGCUCUGUCGAGCGGGAAGAAAUGCAUGGUGGCUAAUAUCCAUCAUGCUUGACGGUACCGCUAAAGGAAGCACCGGCUAACUCAGUGCCAGCAGCCGCGGUAAUACGGGGGGUGCGAGCGUUGUUCGGAAUUAUUGGGCGUAAAGAGCGUGUAGGCGGCCGUAUAAGUCAGAUGUGAAAUCGCUGGGCUUAAACCAUAAUGAGCAUUUGAAACUUGUCGACUGGAGUAUGGGAGAGGAAAGUGUAAUUCCUGUUUAGGGGUUGAAUUCCGUGGAUAUCAGGAGGAACACCGGUGACAAAGCCGACUUUCUGGCCCUAAACUAACCUUGAGACCCAAAGGCUUGGGUAGCAA
rnacentral:rRNA from 1 species